UACAGAGGGUGCGAGCGUUAAUCGGAAUUACUGGGCGUAAAGCGUGCGUAGACGGUAGCGUAAGUCAGAUGUGAAAGCCCCGGGCUCAACCUGGGAAUUGCAUUUGAGACUGCUCUGCUCGGGUGCGGAAGAGGGAAGCGGAAUUUCCGGUGUAGCGGUGAAAUGCGUAGAUAUCGGAAGGAACACCAGUGGCGAAAGCGGUUCUCUGGGACGGUACUGACGCUGAGACGCGAAAGCGUGGGGAGCGAACAGG
rnacentral:rRNA from 1 species